rfam:Treponema denticola ATCC 35405, complete genome.
GUUUAUCUGCCGAGUUUGCCUUUCGGCAAACAUCGCAUUAUUGUAUGCGGUUUUGUAAACAAACCGCUUGAAAAAACUUUUUUCAGGAUUUGAUAAUCCUUGCAAAAAGUUUUUAUGGGA